GAUCCGUAGGUGAACCUGCGGAAGGAUCAUUAAUGAGUUGUCAUGGGGUUCGAUGCUGGCAGCCAAUCUUUGGAUGCAUGUGCUUGCCCUAACAAUCAUCUUCCAAACACCUGUGCACAUUUUUGAGGGAGUCUUGAGUUGGUUGCCGCUCUUGGGUGAUUUUCUCACAUUCCCUUAAAUCAUUAUACGCUAUUAACAAUGUUGAACGUGCUCUGUGCCGCAAGGCUAUUAAUAUAAUACAACUUUUAACAACGGAUCUCUUGGCUCUC
rnacentral:misc_RNA from 1 species